rnacentral:rRNA from 1 species
GACUACCGGGGUAUCUAAGCCCAUUCGCUACCCACGCUUUCGUGCUUGAGUGUCAGAUAUGUGCCAGUAAAGUGCCUUCGCUUUUGGUGUUCCCCAUGAUAUCAACGGAUUUCACCCCUACACCAUGAGUUCCCUUUACCUCUCACAUUCUCUAGUUCUACCGUUUCGUUCGCGGUUCUCAGGUUAAGCCCGAGGAUUUGACAAACGACUAAUAAAACCACCUACGCACCCUUUACGCCCAAUAAUUCCGGAUAACGCUCGGGGCUCUCGUAUUACCGCUCCUGCUGGCACGAGAUUAGGAGCCCCUUAUUCAUGAGGUACAGUCAAUAAACUUCUUCCCUCAUAAAAGAUAUUUACGCACCGAAGUGCUUCAUCAAUCACGCGGCGUCGCUCCGUCAGACUUUCGUCCAUUGCGGAAGAUUCUCGACUGCAGCCCCCCGUAGG